AGAGUUUGAUCAUGGCUCAGAUUGAACGCUGGCGGCAUGCCUUACACAUGCAAGUCGAACGGUAACGCGGGGCAACCUGGCGACGAGUGGCGAACGGGUGAGUAAAGCAUCGGAACGUGCCCAGUAGUGGGGGAUAGCCCGGCGAAAGCCGGAUUAAUACCGCAUACGACCUACGGGUGAAAGGGGGGGAUCGCAAGACCUCUCGCUAUUGGAGCGGCCGAUGUCAGAUUAGGUAGUUGGUGGGGUAAAGGCCUACCAAGGCGACGAUGCGUAGCCGACCUGAGAGGGUGAACGGCCACACUGGGACUGAGACACGGCCCAGACUCCUACGGGAGGCAGCAGUAGGGAAUCUUCGGCAAUGGGCGAAAGCCUGACCGAGCAACGCCGCGUGAAUGAUGAAGGCCUUCGGGUUGUAAAAUUCUGUUAUAAGGGAAGAACGACUUUAGUAGGAAAUGGCUAGAGUGUGACGGUACCUUAUGAGAAAGCCACGGCUAACUACGUGCCAGCAGCCGCGGUAAUACGUAGGUGGCGAGCGUUAUCCGGAAUUAUUGGGCGUAAAGAGCGCGCAGGUGGUUGAUUAAGUCUGAUGUGAAAGCCCACGGCUUAACCGUGGAGGGUCAUUGGAAACUGGUCGACUUGAGUGCAGAAGAGGGAAGUGGAAUUCCAUGUGUAGCGGUGAAAUGCGUAGAGAUAUGGAGGAACACCAGUGGCGAAGGCGGCUUCCUGGUCUGUAACUGACACUGAGGCGCGAAAGCGUGGGGAGCAAACAGGAUUAGAUACCCCGGUAGU
rnacentral:rRNA from 1 species